CAGCAGCCGCGGUAAUACAGAGGGUGCAAGCGUUAAUCGGAAUUACUGGGCGUAAAGCGCGCGUAGGUGGUUUGUUAAGUUGGAUGUGAAAUCCCCGGGCUCAACCUGGGAACUGCAUCCAAAACUGGCAAGCUAGAGUAUGGUAGAGGGUGGUGGAAUUUCCUGUGUAGCGGUGAAAUGCGUAGAUAUAGGAAGGAACACCAGUGGCGAAGGCGACCACCUGGACUGAUACUGACACUGAGGUGCGAAAGCGUGGGGAGCAAACAGGAUUAGAUACCCGCGUAGUCCCUGUCUCUUAUAU
rnacentral:rRNA from 1 species